AGUCCAGAGUUUUUGAAAUUGCAGUUCCAAUAGUUUCUUCCAUUGGCUUGGUAAUAAAGAUUCAUGGCGAUAGAAGCAUGGUUGAUGAGGUUACCAGGGGAAUAACAUGGACAUCCACUCGAAAGAACACGACAAUCAACAUGAGAACAUGCGAAGUUUAUGUUAUCUAGAAGUGUUGCUUGAUCCGAAGAAGGUUUGGCCACACACCAAGUCUUAGUCUAUAACAACAACUUGGAACAAAAUUCACUGAGUAAGAAGAAAUCAGAUUGCAGUUUUUCAAACAUUGAUAAGUGGUCUAA
rnacentral:lncRNA from 1 species